rnacentral:rRNA from 1 species
UACGGAGGGGGCGGGCGUUGGUCGGAAUUACUGGGCGUAAAGCGCACGUAGGCGGAUGUUUAAGACGGGGGUGAAAUCCCGGGGCUCAACACCGGAAUGGCCUUCGAUACUGGACGUCUGGAGGUCGGGAGAGGCGAGUGGAAUUCCGAGUGUAGAGGUGAAAUUCGUAGAUAUUCGGAGGAACACCAGUGGCGAAGGCGGAUCGCUGGCCCGAUACUGACGCUGAGGUGCGAAAGCGUGGGGAGCAAACAGG